rnacentral:rRNA from 1 species
UACAGAGGUCCCAAGCGUUGUUCGGAUUCACUGGGCGUAAAGGGUGCGUAGGCGGUCGGGUAAGUCUGCUGUGAAAUCUCACAGCUUAACUGUGAAACUGCAUUGGAUACUAUCCGGCUAGAGGAAUGGAGGGGAGACUGGAAUACUUGGUGUAGCAGUGAAAUGCGUAGAUAUCAAGUGGAACACCAGUGGCGAAGGCGAGUCUCUGGACAGUUCCUGACGCUGAGGCACGAAAGCCAGGGGAGCAAACGGG